rnacentral:rRNA from 1 species
GAUGAACGCUGACAGAAUGCUUAACACAUGCAAGUCUACUUGAACUUCGGUUUGGGUGGCGGACGGGUGAGUAACGCGUAAAGAACUUGCCUCACAGUUAGGGACAACAUUUGGAAACGAAUGCUAAUACCUGAUAUUAUGAUUUUAGGGCAUCCUAGGAUUAUGAAAGCUAUAUGUGCUGUGAGAGAGCUUUGCGUCCCAUUAGCUAGUUGGAGAGGUAACGGCUCACCAAGGCGAUGAUGGGUAGCCGGCCUGAGAGGGUGAACGGCCACAAGGGGACUGAGACACGGCCCUUACUCCUACGGGAGGCAACAGUGGGGAAUAUUGGACAAUGGACCAAAAGUCUGAUCCAGCAAUUCUGUGUGCACGAUGACGUUUUUCGGAAUGUAAAGUGCUUUCAGUUGGGAAGAAAAAAAUGACGGUACCAACAGAAGAAGUGACGGCUAAAUACGUG